GUGGGGAAUUUUGGACAAUGGGCGCAAGCCUGAUCAAGCAAUGCCGCGUGCAGGAAGAAGGCCUUCGGGUUGUAAACUGCUUUUGUACGGAACGAAACGGUCCGGGUUAAUACCCUGGGCUAAUGACGGUACCGUAAGAAUAAGCACCGGCUAACUACGUGCCAGCAGCCGCGGUAAUACGUAGGGUGCAGGCGUUAAUCGGAAUUACUGGGCGUAAAGCGUGCGCAGGCGGUUUUGUAAGACAGGCGUGAAAUCCCCGGGCUCAAACUGGGAAUUGCGCUUGUGACUGCAAGGCUGGAGUGCGGCAGAGGGGGAUGGAAUUCCGCGUGUAGCAGUGAAAUGCGUAGAUAUGCGGAGGAACACCGAUGGCGAAGGCAAUCCCCUGGGCCUGCACUGACGCUCAUGCACGAAAGCGUGGGGAGCAAACAGGAUUAGAUACCCUAGUAGUCC
rnacentral:rRNA from 1 species